AAGAGAUUUUAUUUUGGAUUAAUUUUGGAUUAAUUUGGGAGGAUGUAGGUUAUCAAAAGGGUGAUUUAUUUGGUUAAAUUAGAAGAUAGUGUGGGUGUGUUAUUAAGGUUGUAUUGGAAAGGAAGAAAAAGAAAAAUUACUCUUAUUCUUUUUCUCCUUUUUGGCAGUUGCCGCAAGCCCUCCACCUUCAACCAGUCACCCACCGUCGGCUAAAAGUUCUAUCCACGCUUCAACUUUGUUCACGUCUGUCGAGUUCAACCAUGUGAGUUCUUCAAGUCCCACUUCAGCCGUCGAGUGUCAACCUUGUUUUGGCGCACCGCUCAUGUCUGCUGUUUGAACUUUGUGCCCCUCACCGCCACUGAUGGUGGCUCUUUAAUGUCCUAUGUUAUUGCGAGCCAUCGCGAAAACUGUAAUUUGUGGAUGACGAAAAAGAAGAAAUGCAGCGAAGAUAAUGCAAGAACUCCAUGAUAAGAAGUUGUCUAGUGAUUCGUAAGGCAAGAUGCGAUCAAUCAUUAUGGAAGAUAAUUCGCUUAAAGACAAGAGUUGUAGUUGAAGAAGUCGAUGUGACAAAUAACAGCUACUUUAUGCGCUAAUAUUUGUAGGCAAGGACGAAUGUGCAAGCAAAGGAAGAAUGAAUAUUCAUCAUAGUGUAAUUAAUUUACCGCCUAAUUAUGUCUAUAAGUACCUCCAACAGUACCAUGAACAAGUAUUAAGAAGAGGUCAUCCCUAAAAAAGCUCAGUGAAAGGACAAGUUUUAAAUUCCUUCACCAUUUGUAGUAGUAGUUCUUCCUCCACCUCUUCUUCGAUCAACAUCUGAGGGAGAGUUUAGAGAGAUUAGAAAUACAAGUUAUUGUGGUAUUUUGAAGGAAAAAAAGUCAUUGAUAGUGAAAGAUUUUCCAGAACCAUUUCUCAAUUUAA